AUGAUUUGUGUCACGCCGGAUGGUUACUCAGGGGGUUUCUUCAAAUCGUCUUGGGAUACAAUCAAGGCCAAUCUGUUUGAGGCGCUGAACCAACUCUAUCACAUGGACAGUCGGGGCUUGCAUCGCAUAAACACUGCUAUCUUAGUCCUUAUACCCAAGAAGCAAGGGGCUGACUUGCUCAAAGACUUCCGACCAAUCUCGCUAUUGCACAGUCUCAUCAAGAUCUUCACCACGAUUCUUGCUACCAAAUUAGCUCCUAAACUAGACAACCUGGUUGACCAUUGUCAAAGUGCUUUCAUAAAAAAACGGAGCAUACAGGAGAAUUUCCUGUACAUAUAA
rnacentral:rRNA from 1 species